GAUGAACGCUGGCGGCGUGCCUAAUACAUGCAAGUCGAGCGAACAGACGAGGAGCUUGCUCCUCUGACGUUAGCGGCGGACGGGUGAGUAACACGUGGAUAACCUACCUAUAAGACUGGGAUAACUUCGGGAAACCGGAGCUAAUACCGGAUAAUAUAUUGAACCGCAUGGUUCAAUAGUGAAAGACGGUUUUGCUGUCACUUAUAGAUGGACCCGCGCCGCAUUAGCUAGUUGGUAAGGUAACGGCUUACCAAGGCAACGAUGCGUAGCCGACCUGAGAGGGUGAUCGGCCACACUGGAACUGAGACACGGUCCAGACUCCUACGGGAGGCAGCAGUAGGGAAUCUUCCGCAAUGGGCGAAAGCUUGCCGGAGCAACGCCGCGUGAGUGAUGAAGGUCUUCGGAUCGUAAAACUCUGUUAUUAGGGAAGAACAAAUGUGUAAGUAACUAUGCACGUCUUGACGGUACCUAAUCAGAAAGCCACGGCUAACUACGUG
rnacentral:rRNA from 1 species